rnacentral:lncRNA from 1 species
UUUUUUGACACUUAUCAUAAAUGGGAUUAUUUUCUUGAUUUCUUCUUCAGGUAGGUUAUUAUUUAUGUAGAAAUGCCAUGAAUUUUUAUAUGUUGAUUCUGCAUCCUGUAGCUUUACUGAAUGCAUUUAUUAGUUCUAACGGACUAUAAAUCAUUCUGCUUUAAAGACACAUGCACACGUAUGUUUAUUGCGGCACUAUUCACAAUAGCAAAGACUUGGAACCAACCCAAAUGUCCAACAAUGAUAGACUGGAUUAAGAAAAUGUGGCACAUAUACACCAUGGAAUACUAUGCAGCCAUAAAGAAUGAUGAGUUCAUGUGCUUUGUAGUGACAUGGAUGAAAUUGGAAAUCAUCAUUCUCAGUAAACUAUCACAAGGACAAAAAACCAAACACCGCAUGUUCUCACUCAUAGGUGGAAUUGAACAAUGAGAUCACAUGGACACAGGAAGGGGAACAUCACACUCUGG